AGUCGAGCGAACCAAUAAGAAGCUUGCUUUUUGUUGGUUAGCGGCGGACGGGUGAGUAACACGUGGGUAACCUGCCUGUAAGACCGGGAUAACUCCGGGAAACCGGUGCUAAUACCGGAUAGAUUAUCUUUCCGCCUGGAGAGAUAAGGAAAGAUGGCUUUUGCCAUCACUUACAGAUGGGCCCGCGGCGCAUUAGCUAGUUGGUGAGGUAACGGCUCACCAAGGCGACGAUGCGUAGCCGACCUGAGAGGGUGAUCGGCCACACUGGGACUGAGACACGGCCCAGACUCCUACGGGAGGCAGCAGUAGGGAAUCUUCCGCAAUGGACGAAAGUCUGACGGAGCAACGCCGCGUGAGCGAAGAAGGUCUUCGGAUCGUAAAGCUCUGUUGUUAGGGAAGAACAAGUAUCGGAGGAAAUGCCGGUACCUUGACGGUACCUGACGAGAAAGCCACGGCUAACUACGUGCCAGCAGCCGCGGUAAUACGUAGGUGGCAAGCGUUGUCCGGAUUUAUUGGGCGUAAAGCGCGCGCAGGCGGUCCUUUAAGUCUGAUGUGAAAUCUUGCGGCUCAACCGCAAGCGGUCAUUGGAAACUGGGGGACUUGAGUGCAGAAGAGGAAAGCGGAAUUCCACGUGUAGCGGUGAAAUGCGUAGAGAUGUGGAGGAACACCAGUGGCGAAGGCGGCUUUCUGGUCUGUAACUGACGCUGA
rnacentral:rRNA from 1 species